rnacentral:rRNA from 1 species
AUUGAACGCUGGCGGCAUGCCUUACACAUGCAAGUCGAACGGUAACGGGCCUUCGGGUGCCGACGAGUGGCGAACGGGUGAGUAAUACAUCGGAACGUGCCCGAUCGUGGGGGAUAACGAGGCGAAAGCUUUGUUAAUACCGCAUACGAUCUACGGAUGAAAGCAGGGGACCGCAAGGCCUUGCGCGGACGGAGCGGCCGAUGGCAGAUUAGGUAGUUGGUGGGAUAAAAGCUUACCAAGCCGACGAUCUGUAGCUGGUCUGAGAGGAUGAUCAGCCACACUGGGACUGAGACACGGCCCAGACUCCUACGGGAGGCAGCAGUGGGGAAUUUUGGACAAUGGGCGCAAGCCUGAUCCAGCCAUGCCGCGUGCAGGAUGAAGGCCUUCGGGUUGUAAACUGCUUUUGUACGGAACGAAAAGCCUUCUUUUAAUACAGGAGGGUCAUGACGGUACCGUAAGAAUAAGCACCGGCUAACUACGUG